CAGACUUAUAGUUGAGAAAUGGGAGACAGAGAGGGGAGGAUUUGAGAGAGAGAGAGAGACAGACAGACAGAGGAGUUCAGAAAGAGAGAGGACAGAGAGGGAGUGAUAGCAGAGAGGCUUUGAGUGUUGCACGGCACGAGGAGGAAGAAAGAAGACGAGUCUGAGGGUUAUACAUUUUAAAUCUUUACCUGGCGGAUCGGGCGACGGAGUACGCGGCGGGAGAGCCGCUAUCGCUGUGCUAGAAUACCUCGCCGCUGAGGUGUUGGAGCGAGUGCCCUUUUGAAAUUUCAUUUUUUUUUCUUUCUGUUUCUCAUUAAUUUUCUUAAUCUCUAAUUUUUAGA